rfam:Phytophthora infestans T30-4 supercont1.269 genomic scaffold, whole genome shotgun sequence.
AACGAUGUAGCUCAACUGGGAGAGCGCAAGGUUUCGGCCUUGAGGAUGCCUGUUCAAAUCGGGCCAUCGUUA